CAUGUCUUAAAGAAAUUAAUUUUAAGUCAAAUCUGCCCAAUGAUUAAAUUAAAUGGCUGCAGUAUUCUUAACUGUACAAAGGUAGCAUAAUAAUUUGUUUUUUAAUUAAAAACUAGAAUGAAAGAUUAAAUGAAAUAAAAACUGUUUCAAUAAAUUAUAUUAAAUUUUUUAUUUAAGUAAAAAAACUUAAAUUUAUAAUAAAGACGAUAAGACCCUAAAGAAUUUUAUUUAUUAAAUUUUAAAAAUAUUAAAGUUUAAUAAAUUUAAUUGGGGUAAUUAAAAAAUUAAAUAAAUUUUUUUUAAAAAAAACAUUAAUAAAUGAAUUAUAUAUCUUAAUUUUUAAAUUAAAAAUAUUAAUUACCUUAGGGAUAACAGCAUAAUUUUUUUUCAGAGUCCAUAUUUAUAAAAAAGAUUAUGACCUCGAUGUUGAAUUAAGAUAAAAUUUAAAUGAAAAAAUUUAAAAAUUUAAGUC
rnacentral:rRNA from 2 species